GAUAUCAUCCCUCGAGCGAUAAAACUGAUAUCACCUCAUCCCUUAUAUGAUAACCUAUAUAUAUAUAUAUAUAUAUAUAUAUAUAUAUAUAUAUAUAUAUAUAUAUGUGUGUGAUAUGAAUUUUAUCGCUCGAGGGAUGAUAUC
rnacentral:miRNA from 1 species